UGGGACUGAGACACGGCCCAUACUCCUACGGGAGGCAGCAGUGGGGAAUAUUGCACAAUGGACGAAAGUCUGAUGCAGCGAUUCUGCGUGGAGGAUGAAGCAUUACGGUGUGUAAACUCCUUUUUUGGUAAGAAGACGAAUAACGGUAUACCAAGAAUAAGGGACGGCUAACUAUGUGCCAGCAGCCGCGGUAAUACAUAGGUCCCAAGCGUUAUCCGGAUUUACUGGGCGUAAAGAGUCCGUAGCCGGAUACAUAAGUCUGUUUUCAAAUACUAUGGCUCAACCAUAGAAAGGGAAUAGAUACUGUGUAUCUGGAAGUUAUUGGGGGUUAGUGGAAUUUCAGGUGGAGCGGUGAAAUGCGUUGAUAUCUGAAAGAACGCCGAAAGCGAAAGCAGCUAACUACAAUAAACUUGACGGUAAUGGACGAAAGCUUGGGGAGCGAACGGGAUUAGAUACCCCGGUAGUCCAAGCUGUAAAUUAUGCUUGCUAGAUGUUUUGGAUCCUUGUGGUCUGGAGUGUCGUAAUCUAACGAGUUAAGCAAGCCGCCUGGGUAGUAUAUUCGCAAGAAUGAAACUCAAAGGGAUAGGCGGGGGAACACACAAGCAGUGGAUUGUCUAGAUUAAUUGGAUAAUAAGCCAAGAAUCUCACCUAGAUUUGACAUGUACUAUGUCCUAUAUGAAAGUAUAGUAGUCCGAGCAAUCGGACAUGGUAUACAGGUGGUGCAUGGUCGUCGUCAGCUCGUGCCGCAAGGUGUCUAGUUUAGUCUGGAAACGAGCGCAACCCUCAUCUUUAGUUAGAAUGUCUAAAGAGACUGCCUGGGUAACCAGGAGGAAGGAGAGGAUGACGUCAGAUCCUCAUGCCCCUUACAUCUAGGGCUUCAUAGACAAUACAAUGGGUAGUACAUCGAUAAGCUAAGCCGCGAGGUGGAGCAAACCUCUAGAACUAUCCCUAGUUCGGAUUGUAGUCUGGUACUCGACUACAUGAAGUUGGAAUUGCUAGUAAUGGCGGGUCAGCUACACCGCCGUGAAUAUGUCCCUGUUCCUUGCACUCACCGCCCGUCAAACCAUGGGAGCUG
rnacentral:rRNA from 1 species